rnacentral:rRNA from 1 species
GAUGAACGCUGGCGGCGUGCCUAAUACAUGCAAGUCGAGCGAACGGACGAGAAGCUUGCUUCUCUUCUUUUAGCGGCGGACGUGUGAGUAACAUGUGUAUCACCUCCCUAUCAGACUGGGAUAACUUCGGGACACCGUAUCUAAUACCGGAUAAUAUUUUUAACCGCAUGGUUCAAAAGAGAAAUACGGUCUUGCUGUCACUUAUAGAUGUAUCCGCUCUUCAUUAGCUAGUUGGUAAGGUAACGCCUUACCAAGUCAACAAUGCAUAGCCGACCUGAGAGGAUGAUGGGCAACACUGGAACUAGGACAAGGUCCCAAAUCCUAAGGGAGGCAGCAGUAGGGAAUCUUCCGCAGGGGGCGGAAGCCUAAAGGAGCAAAGCCGCGUGAGUGAGGAAGGGCUUCGGAGCGUAAAACUCGGUUAUUAGGGAAGAACAAAUGUGUAAGUAACUGUGCAAAUCUUGACGGUACCUAAUCAGAAAGACACGGCUAACUACGUG